AUAUCACAGAUAGGCAAACAAGGCUAUAGCAAGUACGUCUUCAUAUCUUCUGCGUAACAUCUCGGCAGUAAGCAAUGGAAAAGGGAAGCUUGCACCCAUACUGCCCCACCCCUAGAAGAACAGUUACAACUUACGUGCUAAUCUAACCAGCUUGUGUGGGCCAGGAAACCCAGAGCCAUUCAUGACUACAGCAGACCAUGAAGAAAUUUGGCUCGCACAUCCUCUUUCCUUUAUGUCUUCGCUGGGAUGCCGGCCUGAGAGAUGGGGAUCCACUCCUGAGCAUAGUCGUUCUCUCGAGCCUCUUGACUUUUGGACUUGGGAAGGUGGAACAACCUGAAAUAUCCGUUUCCAGAGCAACGGAUGAGACGGCCCAAAUAUCCUAUGGCACCAAGAAAAUGGAAGCAAGUAAAAAUUCCAGUGCUUCCACAUCGACAUUGACAAUAUAUUCCUUGAAGGAAGAAGACGAAGCUAUCUAUUACUGUUCCUACGGCUAUAGCUCGGGCUGGAGCAUGGUAUUUGCAGAAGGAACGAAGCUCAUAGUAAUCCCUCCAGACAAAAGGUUUGAUGCAGACAUUUCCCCCAAGCCUACCAUUUUCCUUCCUUCUGUUGCUGAAACAAACCUCCAUAAGGCUGGGACAUACCUUUGUCUCCUUGAGAAAUUUUUCCCUGAUGUUAUAAGGGUGUACUGGAAAGAAAAGGAUGGUGAUAAGAUCCUGGAGUCCCGGGAAGGGAACACACUGAAGACUAACGACACAUACAUGAAGUUUAGCUGGCUUACCGUGACUGAAGAGUCAAUGCGAAAAGAGCACAGAUGCAUUGUCAAACACGAAAACAAUAAGAAAGGAGUUGAUCAAGAGAUUUCCUUUCCUCCAAUAGAGAAAGUUGCCGUGAGUGCUGAGCCUACACCUUGCUGGCAUGAAAAUGCUGUGCUGCAGCUCCAGCUCACGAGCACCUCUGCCUACUACACCUACCUUCUCCUCCUGCUCAAGAGUGCCAUCCACCUGGCCAUGGUCAGCUUCUCUCUGGCUAGAAGAAGAGCUGCCUGUGGCAAUGAGAAGAGGUCCUAGGAAGUGAAUGGUGGCGCGACAAGUCAGCUCCUGUUCAUCCUUCCUGUGAAAUCGUGCCUUACGGGGCUCAGCUGGAUUUUCUUCCUAACUUUGACCUCUGUAAAAUCACAUGCAUAUCAUUCUGUCGUUGCUUAAAAGUUUUCAGACUUUCAUAAGCGAUUCGAGCAACUUCUCUCUCUAACCGAGGCUACCUCCCUUCUGAUUCUAUCCUCUUCAGUAGUUCCCUCCCCCAGGAGCCUGGAGCAUCACAGUUUGAGUCCACGUAGCUUGCAGCUUCUACCCGCAGUCCUUGUUGCCCUUGAGCCAGCUAACUCCCUGGAAGCCUCCUCGCUAGACACCCCGAAGAGCCUUCUUUACUGCUUGAAUUCUUGUACUUCAUAUUAGAGACAAUAAAUUCUUUUGAAAAUCAGAA